rnacentral:rRNA from 1 species
CACNUCUAGCAUUACAAGUAUUAGAGGCACUGCCUGCCCAGUGACAUUUAAGUUUAACGGCCGCGGUAUCCUGACCGUGCAAAGGUAGCAUAAUCACUUGUUCUCUAAAUAAGGACUAGUAUGAAUGGCUUAACGAGGGUUUAACUGUCUCUUUCUUAUAGUCAGUGAAAUUGACCUCCCCGUGAAGAGACGGGGAUACAACAAUAAGACGAGAAGACCCUAUGGAGCUUUAAUUUAUUACUUCAUUCUUACUUAAUUAAAUCAACAGAAAGUAACAAAAUAUAAGUUAUGAAUUAACAAUUUUGGUUGGGGUGACCUCGGAGUAAAAUCAAACCUCCGAAUGAUUCUAGCAUAGAUUUACAUAUCAAUGCUCCUAUCAUAAAUUGACCCAGAAAUAAAUCUGAUCAACGGACCAAGUUACCCUAGGGAUAACAGCGCAAUCCUAUUAUAGAGUCCAUAUCGACAAUAGGGUUUACGACCUCGAUGUUGGAUCAGGACCCCCAAAUGGUGCAACCGCUAUUAAAGGUUCGUUUGUUCAACGAUUAAAGUCCU